rnacentral:rRNA from 1 species
CACGUAGGGCGCAAGCGUUGUCCGGAAUUAUUGGGCGUAAAGAGCUCGUAGGCGGUCUGUUACGUCUGCUGUGAAAACUCGAGGCUCAACCUCGAGCUGUCGGUGGAAACUGUCUGGCUAGAGUCCGGAAGAGGAGAGUGGAAUUCCUGGUGUAGCGGUGAAAUGCGCAGAUAUCAGGAGGAACACCGGUGGCGAAGGCGGAUCUCUGGGCCAUUACUGACGCUGAGGAGCGAAAGCGUGGGGAGCGAACAGG